rnacentral:rRNA from 1 species
UGGCGAACGGGUGAGUAACACGUGGGUGAUCUGCCCUGCACUCUGGGAUAAGCCUGGGAAACUGGGUCUAAUACCGGAUAGGACCAUGCUUUAGUGUGUGUGGUGGAAAGUUUUUUCGGUGUAUGAUGAGCCCGCGGCCUAUCAGCUUGUUGGUGGGGUAAUGGCCUACCAAGGCGGCGACGGGUAGCCGGACUGAGAGGUUGGUCGGCCACAUUGGGACUGAGAUACGGCCCAG